rnacentral:tRNA from 3 species
GGGCCCGUAGCUCAGGCGGUAGAGCGCCGGCUUUGCAAGCCGGAGGCCGCGGGUUCGAGUCCCGCCGGGUCCA